CGAGGAUGCUGCGUUUCCUUCUCCCCCGACUGCUUUUGUGCGGACGGGAAACUGCCAUUGUGUGUCCGUUUAUUCAGUUCAGGUUUACUGAAUGGGAAUGACGGCCUAAAAAAUGAAGAAUCCAUGGCCGCCUCUUCACAAAUACAACUUGGCUGCAAUAAAGUGCUUCAGAAAUAGUUGAGAAAUGACCCACGGGACACUAAAUCACCGCGCAACGCAGGAGUACGGUGGGGCUCGGCCGGAAACCUCAGCAAAAGGCGCAUCGAGCAAGAGCUGUAGCCUACUGUGUUGACCCAGUCUGAGACCGGAGAGGAAACGCGUGUCAGACACUUUUUGUCAAGUUUACUGUAACUCUCCUUAGCCUCUCGAGUUUGCCGCAUGAUACUGAACAUAUGUGAGUAUUAUAUUGUUACUAAAAGUAUCGCUAACUAUUGCUUAGGAUAGAAAGAUAAUUGUUUUAUAAUAUAUUAAGCCCUUCCAUUUAUAGUAAUGAAGUGUGUGAAUACAAGUAUUCUAUCACCAAUGUCAUAUUUUUGGCGUACCUGGACUAGUACAUUUUAGCCUGAGAAAAAAAUGUAAUUGUAGAAUAUUUCCAUAACCAUUGAUUGUGCCCUUGUUUUGUUGAUCAUUGUGGUACACAUUGAAUGUAUGUUUGGAUUUUGUGAAUAAAUAUAUCUGUAAUUAAAUGUUGA